GUUACACGCGUAUACGUUCUCAGCAGUAAAUCAGUAAAACUGAGCGGCCUCCCUCAGUACCGGGGAAAGAAGGAAAUGUAAUGUGCGGCGCCAUGGCUUCUUUUUGCAAAACGGUUUGUUCAUGACAGCAUACGAGGAAAAAUGAAGGAAGCUCAAAGUGUGGUCAGAGCGACGGGGAACAGAGUGAGGUCGGGCUGAAUCAUCUUGCCGGUUGCGCAGAUUCAGUGACAAGCUUUGCGGUACUGUCUUAUCUGAAGGCCAGUGUCCUGUGACUCAAUGACUGCAUCACUGGAGUCAGACAUCAUGAGGACACAAAUAAGAUAAGAUUCAAGUGUAAUUUGUUAGAAAGUGCAGUUUGCUGUUCCAGACUGACUGCCUGCCACCGUAGAAGCUCCCGGCUCACUUCAAACCAAUCCGAAAUAUGUUCACUGAUUCGGGGGGGGAAGGAGAGAGGGAGGGACGAGAGAAGGAGAGGGAGCAGAGAGUGAUGGGGCAAGAGAGGGAGGAAUCAGAGAGGGAGGAGAUGGGAGGGAGGCGAGAGGGAGGGAGGGAGGAGAGAGGGAGGGAGGGAGGGAUUAGACGUAUUUUGGGUUGGCAGUUACUGCAGCCUCUCUUUACGGCUCUCAAAUCUUACCCAAAGCAGCUUUUAUCUAGAGAUGUGUGUACGUACUUACAUGACUUAUCUGUAUAAUUAAACAAUAAAUAUGCAUUCUAUGUUGUUCACUCUCUUUCGAUAUGUCCCAAUUCAACGUUAUGGAAUAAUCUGACCAUAAGGGGUUACCAUUGUAGCAUCCAUCCGAGGCUGAACCAAACCCACCUCCACUCCACACAGACAGGCCUUGACAUACUAUCGUACGCUCCUCUUCUCCAGUUUGUUAAACAAUCAAACAAUCAGCAUUCAGGCACAUUCAGCCCCCCCUCCUCCGAACCGUACAAUGUGGAAAUCAGAAGACUACGGCGGUUCACUGUGGCCCCCUGUAUCGUGAGCGGCUUCGUUGUUCAAGACAUCCCGCUUUCACAUGGUCGGCAAUAAAAUAAAACCCAUUCCUAAA
ensembl:lncRNA